rnacentral:snRNA from 11 species
CAGUGAUUUCAGCUCUUUUAGUAUUUGUCCAGCAGGCUUUCUGCAGUUAGCGGAGAGCCACC